rnacentral:misc_RNA from 1 species
UUGUGUUAAGAAAACUUGUUUUCAAGCCAAGUCAAAUAUAAUAACAGUAUACUCUCCGUUAACUUUUGAUAGAAUGAACUAAAGGGUGUUAUUGCCCUAGACUUAAAAGGUCGCCUACUUACCUUGUUAUAAAGGUAUUGUCCUCACCUUGGUUACAUAAUCAGUAAAGAUUACUUUUAGUAAUGAUCCUUCCGCAGGUUCACCUACGGAAA